UACGAAGGGGGCUAGCGUUGCUCGGAAUGACUGGGCGUAAAGUGUGCGCAGGCGGCCAAGCAAGUCGAGUGUGAAAGCCCCGGGCUUAACUUGGGAAUUGCGCUCGAAACUACUUUGCUGGAGUGUGGCAGAGGAAGGUGGAAUUCCACGUGUAGCGGUGAAAUGCGUAGAGAUGUGGAGGAACACCAAUGGCGAAGGCAGCCUUCUGGGCCAACACUGACGCUCAUGCACGAAAGCGUGGGGAGCAAACAGG
rnacentral:rRNA from 1 species